rnacentral:rRNA from 1 species
CUAAUACCGCAUGUGUCUUCGGACUAAAGCCUUCGGGGCGCGUUUUGGGAAUAGCCUGCGUAAGAUUAGCUAGUUGGUGAGGUAAUGGCUCACCAAGGCGACGAUCUUUAGCUGGUCUGAGAGGAUGACCAGCCAGACUGGAACUGAGACACGGUCCAGACUCCUACGGGAGGCAGCAGUAGGGAAUUUUCCACAAUGGGCGAAAGCCUGAUGGAGCAACGCCGCGUGCAGGAUGAAGGCCCUCGGGUCGUAAACUGCUUUUAUGUGCGAAGAAUAUGACGGUAACACAUGAAUAAGGGUCGGCUAACUACGUG